GGAUGGACUCAGGCUGGUCAAGGUCAGAGGAGAAGCUAUGUAGGUGGGCAUCUAAACUGGCUCAAUGGGAAGUUGCAGAUGCUGCUAACAGUACUAUGGUUGGUGUCAUAGAACUAGAUUCAGAAAAGGUCCAGCUGUUAUGCGAUGCAGCUAAUGAAGAAGUAGAUGAGAAAAAUAAAGAUCAAAUUGCAAACUUCCUCUGUCCACGUAACUAUGUUGUUUCUGGAGGUGUGAAAGCAGUGGAAGCUAAGGCAAAGUCAAAUAGCUCGAAUGAUGGUUAAUUACUCCUAGAUUAUUAAUUACCAUUUUUCCAUAAUUUGAUAAAAGCUUCAUGCAUUAUGCUUUACCAUAUUUUUGCAAACUUAGCUUGUAUUUCUUUUAAAAGACUAAUGUUUGUGGUACAGAAAUUGAAAUUAUGGAAAAGCUUGUAUUUCCUGUGAUUUUAAUAAAUUCAAAAAGAUAUGUGGAGAAAGAACAAGGGAUGCAUCCAAAGUUCCAAACUUAUGUAAAGAACAAGGGAUGCAUCCAA